GUUGCUUUGGCAGAAUAGUGCAGUGAAUUUAGAAUUCAUGAAUGUAAUUUUAUUUACAAGUAAUA
rnacentral:tRNA from 1 species